rnacentral:hammerhead_ribozyme from 1 species
GCACUGCUGAGGAGUCCCACAACAGGACGAAACGGCUGUCCAGUAC